rnacentral:rRNA from 1 species
UACGUAGGUGGCAAGCGUUGUCCGGAUUUACUGGGCGUAAAGGAUGCGUAGGCGGAUUUUUAAGUCAGAUGUGAAAACCCCGGGCUCAACUUGGGGACUGCAUUUGAAACUGGAAGUCUAGAGUGCGGGAGAGGAAAGUGGAAUUCCUAGUGUAGCGGUGAAAUGCGUAGAGAUUAGGAAGAACACCAGUGGCGAAGGCGACUUUCUGGACCGUAACUGACGCUGAGGCAUGAAAGCGUGGGUAGCAAACAGG